GUAGGGAAUAUUGGGCAAUGGAUGCAAGUCUGACCCAGCCAUGCCGCGUGCCGGAUGAAGGCGCUCAGCGUUGUAAACGGCUUUUAUUCGGGAAGAAGAGCAGGGAUGCGUCCCUGUGUGACGGUACCGAAUGAAUAAGCACCGGCUAACUCCGUGCCAGCAGCCGCGGUAAUACGGAGGGUGCGAGCGUUGUCCGGAUUUAUUGGGUUUAAAGGGUGCGUAGGUGGCCAAAUAAGUCAGUGGUGAAAUACGGUUGCUCAACAAUCGAGGUGCCAUUGAUACUGCUUGGCUUGAAAUAAUUGGAGGCUGCCGGAAUGGAUGGUGUAGCGGUGAAAUGCAUAGAUAUCAUCCAGAACACCGAUUGCGAAGGCAGGUGGCUACGAUUUAUUUGACACUGAGGCACGAAAGCAUGGGGAGCAAACAGGAUUAGAAACCCGAGUAGUCC
rnacentral:rRNA from 1 species